GAAGACAAAAGCGAAACAGUCCCUGCCCUCGAGGAGCUUACAUUCUACUGGGGGAGUUCUUGGAACCUAUUUUAGAUUAUAAGCUCCUGGAGGGAAGAGGCCACGUCUACAUAUCUUGCUC
rnacentral:precursor_RNA from 15 species